UUCAACAUUUUUCUGUCUAGGGUUUGAAGUUUCGCGGGUUGGGUCGCGACGAUGAGCUUCCUCGUGCCUCCAGAUCUCACCUCCACUUCCACUUCGAUCGAUGUGCUCUUGCAUCCCACCGCCGCCACACCCACCCCGGCGAUCCGGGGCCGGGGAAGCUUCAGCUGCCGGCGAUGAGGAGAAGGGUCACAUCUGCCCCCGACGACGGCAGCCCUGUAUCCACCCCACGCAUCCGUAGCCACCGUCGCCGCUGUCGUGCCCUAUCCUUCGAAGAGGAUCCCGUCUCUAGGGAGAUGGCUGAGAAGGAGGGCGUUGUGGAGAUUUGUAAUAGUGUUGAGAAGGCGGUGGAAGGGGCAACGAUCUUACCCGUUUAAUGCAUGGUGGAGGUGUUGAGGAGAUUGUUGCCCAAGGAGCUGAUGAGGGUUGCGGCGGUGGAGAGGCUACGUAGGGUUUGGCGCGCCACGAAGGAGCUAAGGCUUAGGGUUUUGCCUCGAUCGUAUAUGGGGUUUGUUGGUUCGUUGCUCCACAAGUGCGCCUGCUUGUCUAGACUUAUGCUGCGAAUAGAAAGAGACAUGUAAACCUUGCUCAACAUUUGCAAUCUUUUACAUUUAAACCAUCUUUCCAUACUCGACUGGGCAUAGAACAAACACUUCUUGAGCUCCAGAAUUAUGACAUGUCUCAUUUUACGAACUACAUUUUGGGCUUUGAUGAACCAAGCAAAUGAUAUGAAUCACUUUGGUAGUGACCACUCAAAAAGUUAUUGCUUUUUUGAUGCUGCAUUUGCUGGUGGUUUCUAUUCCAGGAGAAUGUUAGGUUGUACCAAGAGUUGCUUGAAUCAUCUUCAAAGAUUGUCAUUACUAUUAUAAGGGAAAUUGAAAUUGCAAAGAAAAAUGCACUCAUUAGAGAACUUGCGGGCCAAUACAUAGGACUAGAAGGACUUCGAUGCCUGAAUUCAAAAUAAAAGUAUGUAUAAUUAUAAUAUACGUGUUUUUUUGGUAACAAAUGUAUAAGGAUUUGUCAUUUUUAUAUAGUUGGCAGCUAAUGGAAAGUCAAUAGAUCCCUUAACAACGAAUAUUGAGGCUUGUUGUAAAAAUGGAGUUCCAGCUGAUGCUGAGGCUGCAAAUUUAAUAGUAAACACAUUCAUUUACAAUUCUUAUAUUGUUAAGACAUUAUCAUUUUGUUUACUUGUGAAGGAUCUAUAUUUAUUGAUGUUAAUAAAUAAACAUCUAGGGUCAAAUGUAAGAAAAGUUAUCACGGUACAUGCUGAGGAUCAAACACCUGAGUUGAGAUAGAAAAUUUUUAAUAGUUUCAUGGGAAAUGAAAGUCAUGGUUAUGUUUGCAUUAUGGGUUUAGGUCCUAAUCCAUCUGACAUGCAUACGUAUCCCUUGUUAUCCAAUGAACAUUUAAAUGAGUUAAUCAACAUGGCUAUGGAGAAAGCUAUAGCAGAGUGUAUGAAAGUAGUGACUCCUAUUCUAAAUCAAAUAAAAUCCCAAAUAGAUGCACUUUAAUUAAAGUUAGAGAAUCAUGGAUCCCCCAUUGACGUAUUUUCGUAUGGAAUUCAGUUAAUUUAGUAAUCAAAAGGUAUCUUGAUUUUAUUUAAAUAACUGACUUUUAUGAUGAAUUUUGAUAGUUUUGUGAUACAUAUGCUAGUUUUUAAUAAGGUUGUAGAUAAUACUAUUUCACAUGUACAAGGAUUUUUUUUAUUGAUUUUU